rnacentral:rRNA from 1 species
UACAGAGGGGGCAAGCGUUGUUCGGAAUUACUGGGCGUAAAGGGCGCGUAGGCGGCCUGCUAAGUCGAACGUGAAAUCCCCGGGCUCAACCCGGGAACUGCGUCCGAGACUGGCAGGCUCGAAUCCGGGAGAGGGAUGUGGAAUUCCAGGUGUAGCGGUGAAAUGCGUAGAUAUCAGGAGGAACACCGGUGGCGAAGGCGGCCCUCUGGACGGUGACUGACGCUGAGACGCGAAAGCGUGGGGAGCAAACGGG